UUCGUAGGGUGCAAGCGUUGUCCGGAAUUAUUGGGCGUAAAGAGCUCGUAGGCGGUCUGUCGCGUCUGCUGUGAAAACUCAGGGCUUAACCCUGAGCUUGCAGUGGGUACGGGCAGACUAGAGUGCGGUAGGGGAGACUGGAAUUCCUGGUGUAGCGGUGAAAUGCGCAGAUAUCAGGAGGAACACCGGUGGCGAAGGCGGGUCUCUGGGCCGUAACUGACGCUGAGGAGCGAAAGCAUGGGGAGCGAACAGG
rnacentral:rRNA from 1 species